CUUACGAAAGUUAGACGUUGACAUUUAACAAAAAUGGAUUUCCCUUUGAAAAGACGAAAAAGUGGUCUUGUUGUCAUCCCUUCGAUUUGGAUAGAUGCAGGGAUUCACUUUCUCCCCAUGGAAACUUUGGCAGUUUACGACAUGUUUUUGCGCCUGCCUUUCACCCUUGGCUAGAAAAAAAAAAUAUCUUGUCUCAAAACUUGCUAAGGAAAAGACCGACACCAACCACAUCUUUAGCCUACCUUAAAUCCAAGAAUAACGGUCACAU